CUUCUAUAAACAAUUCGAAGAAUGUUUCAAAACAAGGAUAUGUACAAAGAUGCAUUUGGUGUGAUGAUGCUUCACACACUAGAAAAGAUUGCAAUGAAUUUAAUAAUAUGAUACGGCAAGGAAUUAUUUGCUCGAAAGAUGGAAAGAUAGCAUUAAAAGAUAGGAAGGAUCUUCUUCAAACCAAUUUCGGCAAGGGAGGAAUGAGAGCAUUAGUUCAAGAUUACCUAAAAGAGUACGAAACAGCAGCACGAGAAAGUGCUAGUUAUGGUGCUAGAAUAGAUGAUGACCUUGGUGGAAGUAUGGAAACUAGUGAGUUUUGGGCUUCUGCCGUUUCUAUAAUGCAAGAAGGGAAAUAACCUCGAGAAGCGUUAUUGAGAACUGCAGCUACAAUAC
rnacentral:lncRNA from 1 species